rnacentral:misc_RNA from 1 species
GGUUUGCUUUCACAGCAACUCACAGCGUUCCCAACCUCAAUGUUCAAUAAAGAUAACAAACUCCAACAGGCGCUAGGACAAAUAUGGCGCACCCACUGCAAACACAGGUGUCAUCUCUGUCUGAAUGUGUGUCUGCACAGUCAGUCACACAGUACAGUUUACUCUCUCAAUAAACUAAGAAGGAACAUGUGCAUACCCUUUACCUGCAUGCCAAGAAGCUAUGAAUCAUUUAACCAGGUCAAAGUUCAAAUCUAAUCUGUAACAAUUAAAAUGAACAGUUAGGAUUAGUGUUUGAUGCUUCACCAGACAAUACCUGUGAC